AAAAAGCAUGUGAUUAUUUUUUACUCUUAAAAAAAUGUCACUAAAUAAGAUAAGGAGACUUGGCUUUGCCCUAUCUUGGGCUCCACAUGUCCUGUUUCUCACUGAGAGACCCUGGCAAGGAGUUUCUCAGUGACAAAGAAAUGGUUUCUUCUCCUCUAGUUCUGAGCUAUAAACACCUUCUCUAAUCGACAUAGAAACGGCUAAGCAGUAGAUAUUUUCAGUCAGAGUACCCCAGUUUUAGUCAUAAAUUAUAUGCCUCUCCUUUUGGAAAUAUAAGGGGUAUAAUUUUUAUUCUUGGGCAGACAUAGUCCUGUGCCCGAUACCUUAGGAAAGAGCCAAAAAGAGAAUGUGGACACAGCUUGUCAUGGUGGAUGGAGAGGAAGGAGACACCAGGGGUAGGGACUCUGUAUUCUGAAGCUCUGAGGCCACAGGAUGAAAAAUCAGAGCCAAGUGAAUGCCUUCUCUGCCUCUCCAAUCCAUGCCAACCCAGGGCUGGCUGCUCACAUGGGGUCUGCACAAACUUGAAAAUCUCCAGAUGUUUUAUAGGGGGGACAAAGCCACGCUUUCUGCUGCAACAGACUGUGAGACUUUUAGGAUGCUCACCCCAAGGCCCUUGAAAAAUGAGAGAGGGGUCUGAUUCUUUGAGAUGGGUAAGGCAGAGGCACCCCGUGGAAGUCAAGCAUUCCUUCUCUCUUCCCUCCCAAGGCCAGCAUGUAAUUUCAAAUGUCCAGUCCAUCCAUGAACAAUAUGUUAGCCUUUGGCCAGGCGGUGAGCUUCCAAAAUGCAAACAUCUCAGCCUCUGUCUGCAGAGGUGAGAAUUCAGCUUGGCAGAGGAAUGGGACACUGUCAAGGAAGACAAGCUUUUGGAGUCAGACAAUCCCAGGUUUGCAUAUUGGCCUUGUUUUGUUGGUUUGUUUUGCUUUGUGUUAAAAUCUAAUUUAUUCUGCAAACUACAGCAGGUUAGUUAAUCCUUUGAAACCUCAGGUUUCUGAGCUAUAAUACAGGAAUAAUUAUAAGUGCUUUGCAGCAGAUUUGUGAGGAUUCUGAGAGUUGUUGGAUGUGUCUAGCACAUUCCUUCUAACUUAUAAAGCAUUAUAUGCCAAGUAUGAAUCUAAGUAAUGCACAUGCCCUAAUCUUUUCCAUCCUUACAACUAUUUAUAGCACUGCCCCCAUAUGGCAAAUGAAGGCUCAGAGAGGUCAAGGCACCUGCCCACAGUCACAAAGUCAGUAAGCAGCUGAUUCUGGAGCUGGUGCUCUCACCACAGGGACUGCUAUAUACCCAUAGUGGAAGCCUGGGGCUAGGAAUGAAGAUCUGUGUUCAUUCAUUCAUUCAUUCAUUCAUUCAACAAUUCACCUGGGCAUCUCUGAGAGAGGAUUACUCACAACAGGUUCUCAGACAAAAAAAAAAAUACAAUCUCUCCUUCCAGGAGUUGAAGAUCUCUCAGGGGAAACAGACAAGUACCCAAAACUAAAUCAAGGUAGAAUAUGACACCAGGGAGGAAGAGAGUAUGGCAGAGGACCUGUUAAAUGGCAGGAACAGACUGAUUUAAUGAAGGUGGUGGUAUUUCUGCUGAGCCUCAAAGGAUAGGCAUGAUUUUGACAGAUGCACUCAGCCUGGUUCAGUCCAAAUUAGGGCCCCCUUGUUCUUUCUCAUCACAACCCAUUCAUUUCCUUUGUUGGACUCACUGUGAUUUUAAUUUCACAGCUAUUUGCUGAUUUAUUUGUUCAAUGCUGGUCUCCCACACUAGACCAUGAGCAGGAAGGAGAGGCAGCAUGCAACUGUGCUCGUUGUCUACACAGGGCCUAGCACUGGGCCUGGGCCAGGGCAGGCACCUGGGAGGUAUGUGCUGAAUAAAUGAAUGGAUGGAUGGGUGGAUGGAUGGGUGGAUGGAUGAGUGGAUGGAUGGAUGGAUGGAUGAGUGGAUGGAUGGAUGGAUGGAUGGAUGGAUGGAUGGAUGGAUGGAUGAGGAUAUAAGUAUUGGCAGGCUGGUGGCAGCUUGCAGAAGGAGAGCACAUUAUCUAUAAACACAUUGCCCCGAUUUAUUUAACAUUGUAGUCACUCCAAAUCUUGGUUACCCUCACCUGAAUUUUCUCUUUUGGGGGAAGUUUUACACAACCACCCCAGUUUCCCUAAAUGCCCCCUCCCUGGAUUCCUGCAGCACUUGAAUUUAGGCUUCUGAGCACUGGUAUCUCCCCAAAUAGAUGAGACUCCCCAUGUGGGCAGCAGCCCUGCCUUCUCCUUCAUGUUUGUCCACAGUGCUUGGGUGAGAUCUGGACAUGUAGCCCACACUCUGUUGAAACCUGCCCAUGGCAUGCAGCUGAGGGGCCCUGCCUUCUCCUUGUCCUCAUUUAUUGCCAUCAGUCAACCACCAAUCAUCCCACAUCGACCCCAGAGGCAUUGGUCUUGGGGUCUCCCUGGUGCGGCAAUGUGGGCUGCCUUCCCAGCCUUGUCCAGGUGGCAGGACUUCUGCUGCUGACAACAGGGCUGUGAUACUCAGCUCCCCAAGGCUGAACUGGAUGACUAAGAGUCCUAAUGAUUCUGGUAUUUUUUCAGGACCUGUCUCCAAAGGCAGGAGGACAUUUAAAAAUGCAUGGGUCUCUGCUAGGUGACACAUCCUGCUUAGGAGUCUGCUGGCCUCCAGUCUGGGACAACAGAGCACUUCAAAUAGGCACCUGUGUUCAUCGCGGUGCUUUCUGUCCACACAGGGCCUUGGUUUCUGAGGCUGAGAGAGGAUAAGCUAAGCAAGGGGCAGAACAGGACACCAACCAUCUCCAGACCCCAGUACAACACAGAUGGCAGGCCAAAGAGGGACUGUGUCGUCUGAUUCAAGAGUACAGACUACACAGCCAGAAUAAUCGGGGCCUGGCUUGGACUCUCUUUAAAUAUUCAUUCCUCAUCUGUAAAAUGAGCAUAUGAGUCCCACUUCACCAGACUGUAGGACAUACGUGAAGGACUCUGCAGUGUCUGGAACAUAUUUAUGGCCCCUGAAAUAAACAGUUAUUGAUGACAGAGAUGAAAAGAAGAAGAUCCAAUGGAGUAAUCUUCAAGGCCUGCUUCAAGUCUUGCCUUGAUUGCUGCAAGAGAGAAGGUCACCUAUCUCCCCAGGUAGCCUCUCUCACCCUGACAAUGUAUCUUCACAGGUAAGGGACAAAGACAAGACUAGAAAUCAUCCCUCUGCCCACCUCAAGACAAAUGCAGAUCUGACUUCUUCUUCCUCUACUCUAUGUUUACUUUAUCUUAUGUAAAAUACAAGAUUUACUGAGCAGGAGCCGAAUGCA
rnacentral:lncRNA from 1 species